UGGGGGAUAUUGCACAAUGGGCGCAAGCCUGAUGCAGCGACGCCGCGUGGGGGAUGAAGGCCUUCGGGUUGUAAACUUCUUUUGCUCUGAACAAGGCGCACUUUGGGGUGUGUUGAGUGUAGGGGUUGAUUAGCGCCGGCUAACUACGUGCCAGCAGCCGCGGUAAUACGUAGGGCGCGAGCGUUGUCCGGAAUUAUUGGGCGUAAAGGGCUUGUAGGUGGCUGGUUGCGUCUGUCGUGAAAGCUCAUGGCUUAACUGUGGGUUUGCGGUGGGUACGGGCUGGCUUGAGUGCAGUAGGGGAGGCUGGAAUUCCUGGUGUAGCGGUGGAAUGCGCAGAUAUCAGGAGGAAUGCCGGUGGCGAAGGCGGGUCUCUGGGCUGUUACUGACACUGAGGAGCGAAAGCAUGGGGAGCGAACAGG
rnacentral:rRNA from 1 species